rnacentral:tmRNA from 1 species
GGGGGCGACUUGGUUUCGACGUGGGUCACAAAGCAGCACAGGGCAUGCCAAGGUCCAGUCACCUUGUAAAUCCGCUGGAAAUUCUUUACACGCCAACGACGAGCGUUAUUCUCUCGCCGCCUAAUACCGGCGAGACGCUGCACUGACCUGCUGAUGGGUCAGGCUCCCGAACAAGGGCAACCUUGUCUGGGAGUGCAGUGUCAUUUACAUCAGCCCCUCUGCAGGGUUUGGUCGCUUGGCCCUGCGGAUCCGUCGAAGCGGCUAGCCAAACACCAGCCUGCCGGCUGGCGGGUGCGAGGCGAAAUCCAAAUAACCAGGCUAAGCAUGUAGUCCUGACUGUGGAGGGCUUGCGGACGCGGGUUCGAUUCCCGCCGCCUCCACCA